rnacentral:lncRNA from 10 species
UAUGUGACCUUAUUCAACCUGAGCCUCAGUUUCCUCAUUUGCAAAAUGGGGGUAUACAUGUUUUUGCUGUGAGAAGUAAGUAUUCUGCCCAUAUAGCAGGCAGAGAGCCUGGUACGCAAUAAGCCCUGCAAUAUGAGCCUCUUUCUCCCUCUAACAUCCUUUAAUUCACCAGGAAACAACCACCACAGAGCUGCUCAAUUUGUCUGGUACGUGGACCCAUGGCUCCUGAGAGGUGGGAAGGGGCUGCCUGCAUCCGUGGGCCCUGAAUCACGACAUAGAGGAAGAUGCCUCUGCUUCUCGAUGUUGGAGGUGGGAAGAAAGCAAGGGCAGGACAAUGCCCUCCAGGAGAUGCCAAUGUGGAUGAAUUUAGCCUGCAGUACAGGCCCUCACCCGGUUUCUAUCAUCACUGAAGUCUCCUCCAGGCCAAUGAGUUUCUGAAUUUAUGAAUAUGAAUACGACAGACGCUCUUCACAAUCUUGCUGACACUUUCACAUGGUUCAGUGAAACGCUGUUCACAGAUGCAGGAAAGUUAAACUUCAGGCCUGAUUCAUGGUGAAUGGUGAGAAAACUGAGGAACAAAGAGGUCAAGGUAACCUGUACAAGAUCACACGCUGGAAAGCAACAGUGCUGGCCUUGAACCUGCGUCUGUCAUCAGUAUUCUAUCCGGAUGCAUCGCUUUUUGUCUCAUCAUUGUGUGCAGGAGGUUCACACAGGUUGAUACCUGUGGACUUAAUUCAUGAAUGUUAACCACUCUGUAGUUUUCCCUUUUAUAAUUUUUUUUU